AGGGAAGCCAGGGUUUGUACACAGGUGUGCUUGGCAUCAAAAGUUUGUGCACUUUAUUCUGUGAUACAAUGCCAUCUCUGGAACUCUGAAAGAUGGAAAGAUUGCAGCUUGACUAUAAGGCUUACUUAUAAAAGUUACACCUGCAAAAAUGGGACAAAGUCCAGUGAGGAAGGAUAGAACAUUUUGCCUGAAUGUGCAAAAAAUGAGUGGGGUGUCGUCUGCAUUCCUGCAGGCCUGAGCAGCCUCGUGGUAAAGGAAUCAAGAUGUAGAGACCCAUCUGUGAUCACUCAGCCAGGGAAUGCAACUUCUGGGUCAGGAAUCUCAGUGGAUUCUCCAUUGAGAAUGGGUGCUCACCAAGGAGAUUUUGUGGUUAUGAAGUCUUGGCUUUGCCUUGGAGUGGAUCCUGCAGAGGUCAAUGGAGUGAAGCCAGUUAAGGAUGCAAAGAGGAAUGCGAAGAGGAAUGCGAAGGCGAAUGCUCACCUCCGGGAAGCCCCUUCAUUUCUGGAUCCUGUCAGGCAGAGGUGCUGCUGGAGGUCAUACUCCCUCAGCUGGGCAAAGCAGUGGAGAGCCACUGGCUUCCAGAAUGCUCCCAUAUCCUUGCCUGGGAGAGAAUGUUUUUCCUGUUACUCUGGAAGUAUAACAAUUCUGUGGCCUGUCAGUCUUUCAAUAACAAGAGAGGUGACAUUGAGACUUGAUUGUGCUGGUAUCAUUAUCUCAGGAUAUGUAACACCUUACUAAAAAGACUAUUCAUUGCUCAAAAAUUUUGUAUUUCAUAUAAAAAAAUUCCUCUGAUUGUUCAAUCAGUUCGUAUUGUAGAAACUUGGAACGUCUUUAUGAAAUGCAGUAUUUCUAAAUGAACUUAAAGUGAACCAUUUUGUUCGAAUAAUUGCAAGAGGGGUUUUUAGAAAUCAUAAUAGCUGUUUUAUGCAUUGAUCCUUUAUUUCCUGCCAUGCAAUAUAUCCAGUGCCUUUUAUGUAAUCUUACUUAAUCCUUACAAUGACCUUUUGAGUCAGGAAGCUGUUAUGUUAUUAUUCUUUUAUCAUCAAUGGAGAAGCUAAGGUUCAGAAAGGUGAGGUAAUGUUCAGUUUCACGUGGCUAGAAAGCAUUCCCUGGUUUGUCCAACUACAAAGCCAACAAUCUAAUCACCAACUCCAUCCUCAAGGAAUUAAUCUUAAAUGACAGAUUUUGGAAAAUGAUUUGGUUGUUUCUGAAAUAAAAAUAUUGUAGAAUUUUU